GCCGUUGUGGAUAUCCAUUUUAAAGUAACGUAGUUUUGAGCGGAAAAAUUUCCGUUAGAAAAUAUCAGGAAGAACAAUAUGGAGAGCAACAGGAAAAAAAAUGUUUAAAUGAAAAAAUUUAAAAUUAAUGCAACAAGAAAAAUAAGAUUAAAAAGAAACUGCACUAUUUAUAUUUUUUAAAAAGUUAGAAAUUUCCAUGGUCAUGGUCGAAGCAACAUUGAGCUUUGCGGCUGGAACGCUGCUGACAUUUAUGAUGGCAAAUGCUGUUGUCGUCGCCAGAGGAUUUCUUUUACCAUACACGUGUAAGAAAGGGCAUGCAGACGGAUUAAAAUGUAAAAACUGUUGCCGAAUAAAAGAAGUUAAUAAAAAGUGGUCAACAGAAGAUCUGUUUGGAGAAAAAGUUAAAAUGUAGAUUAAGAAUAAUUUUCAUGGUUUUUUUUAGAAAUUAUUGAAAAAACGAAUGAAAUUUAUUGAGAAGUUAUUAAAAAAACAGCGAAAGAAAAGUAUCAAGAAAUAUCGAAAAAUUGAAAAUAUUGAAGUUCAUUUCAAAAGUAUUAUCAUUAGUUGUAAUGAAAAAGUUUUAAUUAAAUGUCAUUAUUUUGAUUUAUGUUAAAAAAUUUUAUAUGAAGUAAAAAAUCAUUUUUGUUUUGGUUUAAAAAUUAAGUUGAAAUAUUUUUUAUAUUUAUCUCAAGGAAAAUUGUUUAACAUAUUUUGCAUUUAUAAAUCGUCGGUGAAAAUGACAUGGAAAUGACUUUUCACCGACGACAAUACGUUUUAUAACUAAUAUUUAGUUUUUAGUAUAAACUUUAUACUAAGUUUUUUUAUUAUAGCAAUUUAUGCAAACUUUUUUAAUUUAUGCGAACUUUUUUAUUAAAAAAACUUGUUACUUUUUUAUUAAACUAACUUGUAAAUUUUUUAACUAAUUAAAUUUUUUUUACUAACUCGUAAAGUAAUGUUACAUACUGUUGUGUAGGGUAGACAGGGGUAGACAGGGGCAGGACGCCAUCUCUACUGCUGGUUUGUCAAACCCUAUAGUGUGUUUUUAAAUAAACUAUUUAUUUAUUUUGUUAUGGUAAGUCAUUAACAUAGAAAAGAUUAGUAGCACCAGAUAGAUUGGCUACUUUUACCCCUGUAUACCCUUAAGAUUAUUUAUGUUUUAAAAAAAAUAAAUAUUUGAA